rnacentral:rRNA from 1 species
AACGCGAAGAACCUUACCAGGUCUUGACAUCCCCAUGACCUCUCUAGAGAUAGAGAUUUCCCUUCGGGGACAUGGGUGACAGGUGGUGCAUGGUUGUCGUCAGCUCGUGUCGUGAGAUGUUGUGUUAAGUCCCGCAACGAGCGCAACCCUUGAUCUUAGUUGCCAGCAUUUAGUUGGGCACUCUAAGGUGACUGCCGGUGACAAACCGGAGGAAGGUGGGGAUGACGUCAAAUCAUCAUGCCCCUUAUGACCUGGGCUACACACGUGCUACAAUGGAUGGUACAAAGAGCAGCAAAACCGCGAGGUCGAGCCAAUCUCAUAAAGCCAUUCUCAGUUCGGAUUGUAGGCUGCAACUCGCCUACAUGAAGCCGGAAUUGCUAGUAAUCGCGGAUCAGCAUGCCGCGGUGAAUACGUUCCCGGGCCUUGUACACACCG